GCCNCGUUACGAAUUCGCCCUUGAGGUUUGAUCAUGGGCUCAGGAUGAACGCUAGCGGCAGGCUUAACACAUGCCAAGUCGAGGGGCAGCAUGUCCAGCAAUGGAUGAUGGCGACCGGCGGAAGGGUGCGUAACGCGUGAGCAACAUGCCCUAUACAGGGAGAUACACCAGGGAAACUUGGUCUAACAUCCCAUAGCAUUCAUUGAAGGCAUCUUUAAUGAAUUAAAGCUUCGGUGGUAUAGGAUUGGCUCGCGUGACAUUAGCCAGAUGGUGAGGUAACGGCUCACCAUAGCAAUGAUGUCUAGGGGUUUUGAGAGGAAGGCCCCCCACACUGGGACUGAGACACGGCCCAGACUCCUACGGGAGGCAGCAGUGAGGAAUAUUGGACAAUGGAUGGAAAUCUGAUCCAGCCAUGCCGCGUGCAGGAAGACGGCCUUAUGGGUUGUAAACUGCUUUUAUACGGGAGCAAUAAGGGUUACGAGUAAUCCGAUGAGAGUACUGUAUGAAUAAGGAUCGGCUAACUCCGUGCCAGCAGCCGCGGUAAUACGGAGGAUCCGAGCGUUAUCCGGAAUUAUUGGGUUUAAAGGGUGCGUAGGCGGCCAUUUAAGUCAGCGGUGAAAUUUUGCAGCUUAACUGUAACAGUGCCGUUGAUACUGUUUGGCUAGGAUUUGGUUGUAGUGUGCGGAAUGUGUGGUGUAGCGGUGAAAUGCUUAGAUAUCACACAGAACACCGAUUGCGAAGGCAGCACACUAAGUCAUUAUUGACGCUGAGGCACGAAAGUGUGGGGAUCAAACAGGAUUAGAUACCCUGGUAGUCCACACUGUAAACGAUGAUAACUCGCUGUCGGCGA
rnacentral:rRNA from 1 species